UACGUAGGGGGCAAGCGUUGUCCGGAUUUACUGGGCGUAAAGGGCGCGUAGGCGGCUCGACAAGUCCCGCGUGAAAGCCCCCGGCUCAACUGGGGAACUGCGCGGGAAACUGUCGGACUUGAGUUCGGGAGAGGGAAGCGGAAUUCCGGGUGUAGCGGUGAAAUGCGUAGAUAUCCGGAGGAACACCGGUGGCGAAGGCGGCUUCCUGGACCGACACUGACGCUGAGGAGCGAAAGCCAGGGGAGCAAACGGG
rnacentral:rRNA from 1 species